rnacentral:rRNA from 1 species
GACGAACGCUGGCGGCGUGCCUAAUACAUGCAAGUAGAACGCACAGUUUAUACCGUAGCUUGCUACACCAUAGACUGUGAGUUGCGAACGGGUGAGUAACGCGUAGGUAACCUGCCUGGUAGCGGGGGAUAACUAUUGGAAACGAUAGCUAAUACCGCAUAAUAUUGAUUAUUGCAUGAUAAUUAAUUGAAAGGUGCAAUUGCACCACUACCAGAUGGACCUGCGUUGUAUUAGCUAGUAGGUGAGGUAACGGCUCACCUAGGCGACGAUACAUAGCCGACCUGAGAGGGUGAUCGGACACACUGGGACUGAGACACGGCCCAGACUCCUACGGGAGGCAGCAGUAGGGAAUCUUCGGCAAUGGACGAAAGUCUGACCGAGCAACGCCGCGUGAGUGAAGAAGGUUUUCGGAUCGUAAAGCUCUGUUGUAAGAGAAGAACGGGUGUGAGAGUGGAAAGUUCACACUGUGACGGUAUCUUACCAGAAAGGGACGGCUAACUACGUG